rnacentral:rRNA from 1 species
GGUGCGCAGGUGGCAUGGCAAGUUUGAUGUGAAAUCUCCGGGCUCAACCCGGAAAUGGCAUUGAAUACUGUCGUGCUGGAGGUUUGGAGGGGGGACUGGAAUUCUCGGUGUAGCAGUGAAAUGCGUAGAUAUCGAGAGGAACACCAGUGGCGAAGGCGAGUCCCUGGACAACACCUGACACUGAGGCACGAAAGCCGGGGGAGCAAACAGGAUUAGAUACCCUGGUAGUCCCGGCCCUAAACGGUGCGUGUUUGCUGUAGGAGGAAUCGACCCCUUCUGUGGCGAAGCUAACGCGUUAAACACGCCGCCUGGGGAGUACGGUCGCAAGAUUAAAACUCAAAGAAAUUGACGGGGGCCUGCACAAGCGGUGGAGUAUGUGGCUUAAUUCGAUGCAACGCGAAGAACCUUACCUGGCCUUGACAUGCAAGUGGUAGAACCAUGAAAGUGGGACGACCCCGCAAGGGGAGCUUGCACAGGUGCUGCAUGGCUGUCGUCAGCUCGUGUCGUGAGAUGUUGGGUUAAGUCCCGCAACGAGCGCAACCCUUGUGUCCUGUUGCCACCCCCACGAGAGUGGGGAGCACUCUGGACAGACUGCCUCGCUUAAACGGGGAGGAAGGUG